UGGGCUGUUCGCCCAUUAAAGCGGUACGCGAGCUGGGUUUAGAACGUCGUGAGACAGUUCGGUCCCUAUCUGCCGUGGGCGCAGGAGACUUGAGAGGAUCUGCCCUUAGUACGAGAGGACCGGGGUGGACGAACCUCUAGUGUUCCGGCUGUCCCGCCAGGGGCACCGCCGGGUAGCUAUGUUCGGCAGGGAUAAACGCUGAAAGCAUCUAAGCGUGAAGCCCACCUCAAGAUGAGGUCUCCCGUGGCGCAAGCCACCUGAAGACCCCCGGAAGAUGACCGGGUUGAUAGGCCGCGAGUGUACGCCCCGGAAGGGGCUCAGCUGAGCGGUACUAAUCGGUCGUGCGGCUUGACCCCAU
rnacentral:rRNA from 1 species